AAUUUAAAAAAUCAGAAAGAAUAUAUAUAGAAAAUAAAUUUACAAAAUCUUACCAAUUAGACUUUAAUUUAAUGGUUGAAAUUUUAUACAUAAACGGAUAUUUUUAUAAUUGAGUUAGACUUUAUAUUUAGGUUAAGCUAAAACUCAAUAAAAAUAUAUAUUAUAUAUAUAUAAUUAUUUAUUUAUAUAUAUAAUAUAUAAAUUAUUUAUAUAUAAAAUAUAUGUAUUUGAACUGCUAUGGAGUCGAAUAUGAGUAAGCUGAUUCUAAUUCAUGUUCAACUUCGAGAAGGCUUAUGACCGAAUCUAUUGGCCUUUCCUUUUUCGCAUCAUGGAGUGGUGGGGAUUCGACAGGAAGUGGAUUAACUGGGUCAAAUUAUGCGUUUGUAGUGCUAAAGUUGCAGUUCUGGUCAAUGGUGUACCAACAAACUGGAUCAAGACGAAAAGGGGAUUACGGCAGGGGG
rnacentral:lncRNA from 1 species